GGAGUCUUUACAAGGAACAGUAUAGGACAAGCGCAUCUCAUAUUGAAGAAUUUUACUCACUCUGAGCACACUGAGCACAGAGACCAUGCAGACAGCUGUGGCAAUCUUGAAUAAAAUGUGCAGAUCAAAGUGAACUGGCACAGCAGUUGGCAGCAUCUAGUGGAUUGUGGACUAUAGAUCAGCAAUCCUCCACAUCAUCAUCGUCCAUUGACGGCCAGCAUAAUUUCUCUUCUACGGACAGCAAGCCUGAUCCGUGUUCAAGCAGUGGUGCUCAUGCAUCUCGGAUCCGCAAUCACCUUUGUGAUAUAAUCAACUCUGGGAAACUGGUACCAACUCUACAGAUGAGGACCAUACUGAUUCAGACUCCUCUCAAGUAGAUCUAUCUGUUGUGAAGCCUUGGUUAACAGUAAACUUUCGGAAUGCUCCACCUGUAGCGCCACCAACUGUUGAUCCUCCAGUAAUUAUCUCUGCACGUUCUGUCAUUUCUCCUGUUUCUACCUUUCUUCCAGCUGCUAUUCAACCAGAAGACAGACUAAUGUCAACUUUUUUUUCAAUCUGCCAAGGAGUACAUUGCUGAGCAGCAAGAAAUGGGCCACCAAUUAAAUGAGAAUUUAUGUAGGCUCGUCGCACUACACGAAGAGCAACUUUAAAUUGAAAAACAAACUCUUGAAUUGUUGAGCCGAAAACUAGAGGACUCUCGAAGAAAUGACCUUCUCUACGCACUUCUCGAAAACGUUAUUUCUAUGACCAACAGUGGUAACGGUUCCCCACAUCUGGACUCUAACAAUGAUAGGGGACCGAUUCGAUCAAAUUUACCUAAUAAAAAUUAAAUAAAAAAGGAAA